rnacentral:rRNA from 1 species
GCAUGCCUUAACAUGCAAGUCGAACGGUAGAGUAGCAAUACUCGAGAGUGGCGAACGGGUGAGUAAUAUAUCGGAACGUGCCCAGUCGUGGGGGAUAACGUAGAGAAAUUUACGCUAAUACCGCAUACGAUCUAAGGAUGAAAGCGGGGGACUUCGCAAGAGGCCUCGCGCGAUUGGAGCGGCUGAUAUCAGAUUAGGUUGUUGGUGAGGUAAAAGCUCACCAAGCCGACGAUCUGUAGCUGGUUUGAGAGAACGACCAGCCACACUGGGACUGAGACACGGCCCAGACUCCUACGGGAGGCAGCAGUGGGGAAUUUUGGACAAUGGGCGAAAGCCUGAUCCAGCAAUGCCGCGCGUGGGAAGAAGGCCUUCGGGUUGUAAACCACUUUUGUACGGAACGAAACGGCUCGCCUUAAUACGGCGGGCUAAUGACGGUACCGUAAGAAUAAGCACCGGCUAACUACGUGCCAGCAGCCGCGGUAAUACGUAGGGUGCGAGCGUUAAUCGGAAUUACUGGGCGUAAAGCGUGCGCAGGCGGUUAUAUAAGACAGUUGUGAAAUCCCCGGGCUCAACCUGGGAAUUGCAUCUGUGACUGUAUAGCUAGAGUACGGUAGAGGGGGAUGGAAUUCCGCGUGUAGCAGUGAAAUGCGUAGAUAUGCGGAGGAACACCGAUGGCGAAGGCAAUCCCCUGGACCUGUACUGACGCUCAUGCACGAA